rnacentral:tRNA from 1 species
AAGAAAUUAGUUAAAAUAUAACAUUAAAAUGUCAUUUUAAAAUUAUUAUAAAUUUAAUAUUUCUUA